rnacentral:lncRNA from 1 species
CUCUGUAAUACUUUGUGAGGGACAACAUUCAGAUAAUCGUAGCAGUGUUCUGCAAUCCUCUGUGAAGGACACACGUUCAGAAGACAGCAGGAGUGUUCUUGAAUCCUAUGUGGGGGACAAACACGCAGAACACAGCAGCAGCGUCCUGGAAUCAUAUGUGAGGGACAAACAUUCAGACCACAGCAGGAAUAUUCUGGAAUUCUAUGUGAGGGACAAACAUUGAGACACUU